GACGAACGCUGGCGGCGUGCUUAACACAUGCAAGUCGAGCGAGAACCCAGGCCUCGGCCUGGGGGAAAGCGGCGAACGGGUGAGUAUCACGUGGGUAAUCUACCCUCGACAUCGGGAUAGCCCGGGGAAACCCGGAUUAAUACCGAAUGGCCCAUCCGCUCUUCGGAGCGGCUGGGAAAGGUAGCUUCGGCCUCCAGUCGAGGAGGAGCCCGCGGCGGAUUAGCUUGUUGGUGGGGUAAUGGCUCACCAAGGCGACGAUCCGUAGCUGGUCUGAGAGGACGAUCAGCCACACUGGGACUGAGACACGGCCCAGACUCCUACGGGAGGCAGCAGUGGGGAAUCUUGCGCAAUGGGCGAAAGCCUGACGCAGCGACGCCGCGUGCGGGAAGAAGGCCUUCGGGUUGUAAAGCUCUUUCAGUCGGAAAGAAACGAUUGUGACUAAUACUCACAAUUAAUGACGGUACCGACAGAAGAAGCACCGGCUAACUACGUGCCAGCAGCCGCAGUAACAC
rnacentral:rRNA from 1 species